rnacentral:rRNA from 1 species
UACAGAGGUCUCAAGCGUUGUUCGGAUUCAUUGGGCGUAAAGGGUGUGUAGGUGGCGCGCUAAGUCGGGUGUGAAAUUUCGGAGCUUAACUCCGAAACUGCAUUCGAUACUGGCGUGCUUGAGGACUGGAGAGGAGACUGGAAUUUACGGUGUAGCGGUGAAAUGCGCAGAUAUCGGGAAGAACACCCGUGGCGAAGGCGGUUCUCUGGGACGGUACUGACGCUGAGACGCGAAAGCGUGGGGAGCGAACAGG